AUAGCGUAUAUUAAAGUUGUUGCAGUUAAAAAGCUCGUAGUUGAACUUCAGACCUGGCUGGGUGGUCAGCUUAACGGCAUGCACUGUCUGGCCGGGCCUUACCUCUUGGUGAGCCGGCGUGUCCUUUAUUGGAUGCGUCGGGGAACCAGGACUUUUACCUUGAGAAAAUUAGAGUGUUCAAAGCAGGCCUAUGCCCGAAUACAUUAGCAUGGAAUAAUAAAAUAGGACGUGCGGUUCUAUUUUGUUGGUUUCUAGAGUCGCCGUAACGAUUAAUAGGGAUAGUUGGGGGCAUUGGUAUUGAGUGGCUAGAGGUGAAAUUCUUGGAUUGACUCAAGACCAACUAUUG
rnacentral:rRNA from 1 species